AAGUUAUAAAUAAUUCAUACACAAGGAGACCAGGCAAGGCAGGGCUCUCAGCCCCUGUCCCUCCGGGCUGUGGAGAGCGGGAUGGGCUGGGGGCCGGCUGCGGGGCCAGGACCCGCACUCUGGGGCUCAGCGCCACAUGGGCACGCUGAACCCUCCAUCCCUGUGCCGGGCGGGGAGUCCCGCGGGUACAGCCCGGAGCCAGCCGGGGUCGCCAGUCCACACCAUGGAAGAGACCUCACGCUGGCGCCGGGGCGGCGGCACCUCCCUCGCAGCCCACGGCCACGCUUGUCCGCAGCCUCGGUUCGUGUCCGCAGCCUCGGUCCGUGUCCGCCGCCUCGGUCCGCGUCCGCCGCCUCGGUCGGUCCCCGCCGCCCCGCCCCGCACCGGAGCCGCGACCCCGGGAUCCCCAGACCGGGCGGCGCUCCCGGCGGUGGCCGCCAGAGGGCGCGCUGGCCCCGGGCUCUCCCGCCGCGGAACCCGCCUGAGCGGCUGCGGCUGCGGCCCGGAGCCGAACGGCGGCGGACCCGGAGCGGCCCCGGUGGAGGCCCCGCUCCCGGCCCCGCUCGGCCCCGCCAUGGCCCGGGACCCGGCCUUCGUGCUGCGCUACCUGGCCGAGGUGGAGGAGCUGGCCGAGGACGUGCUGGCAUCACGGCAGCAGAUCGUGGACCUGGACGUGAAGCGGAACCGCAACCGCGAGGCCCUGCGGGCGCUGCAUAAGGACCAGGAGCCCGAUGCAGAGAAGGCCAUGGUUUGCUUCGGGAGCAUGUUCAUCGAGCUGCCGAAGGCAAAGACCCGGGAGAUGCUGCAGCAGGACCACCGCAGUCCUCCUGCCUCUUAUCCCAGACCAGGAAGAGCUGGAUAAGGAGAUAAACAACCUCCGGAAGGAGCUGCGGGUGAAGGUCAACAGGCUCUAUGAAGCUCAAGGUAAGCCUGAGCUGAAGGGGUUUAACCUGAAUCCCAUGUCUGCUGAGGAAAUGAAGCUCAUCAACCGCAUCCUGGAGGGCUGAGGUGGCCGUGCCAUUGUCACAGCGUGUUUGGCUGUCACUGUGGGCUCAUGUUUCAGUAGCCACAGUCCCUGGGAUUUGCAGGAUGUUGGUGUGCCCAGAGCCCACCCAGGUGCGGGCCCUGGGAAUCGUUUGGCUCCUCAGCUCCAACUCUGCAGUUUCUUUGCAUCACAAACUCUUUCCUGCUCUCUGCUGGAAUUUGGGUGGCAGAGCCGUGGUGGAUACAGCGCUGGGCAGAGGCCCACAGCUGGGGUGGAAGUGGGAUCAUUAAAAUCAGAGCAGUGG